rnacentral:rRNA from 1 species
AUUGAACGCUGGCGGCAUGCUUUACACAUGCAAGUCGAACGGCAGCAUAGGUGCUUGCACCUGAUGGCGAGUGGCGAACGGGUGCGUAAUAUAUCGGAACAUGUCCGGAAGUGGGGGAUAACGUAGCGAAAGUUACGCUAAUACCGCAUAUGCCCUGAGGGGGAAAGGGGGGGAUCGUAAGACCUCUCGCUUUCGGAGCGGCCGAUAUCGGAUUAGCUAGUGGGUGAGGUAAAGGCUCACCUAGGCGACGAUCCGUAGCUGGUCUGAGAGGACGACCAGCCACACUGGGACUGAGACACGGCCCAGACUCCUACGGGAGGCAGCAGUGGGGAAUUUUGGACAAUGGGCGCAAGCCUGAUCCAGCCAUGCCGCGUGAGUGAAGAAGGCCUUCGGGUUGUAAAGCUCUUUCAGCUGGAAAGAAAUCGUAUCUAUUAAUACUAGGUGCGGAUGACGGUACCAGCAGAAGAAGCACCGGCUAACUACGUGCCAGCCGCCGCGGUAACAC